CUGGUAAUGUAAUAAAGUACGUUUAUGAAAGCACUUUUUUGAAAAAUAAAAGGACAUUAAAAGGAAACAACUUCCAAACUCAUUUGGUUUUUUCCAGUUUCUAAACAAACACAAAAAAGAGCGGUGGCAUGACAACGUCAUAAAGAAGACUCUGUCAUUAAACAUUUUUAAAUAAGAGUGUGAAUCUACUUACUCCACAAUAGCCAGAAAUAUCUACAUGUGGAACUAACUCUCUAAGUGAACAUUUUUUUAUUCAUAAGACUCGAACUCGUUGUUUAAGAGAAAUCAAGCAUAUAUUACUUGAACCAACGUUCGUUAG
rnacentral:lncRNA from 1 species